UACGGAGGGUGCAAGCGUUAUCCGGAUUUAUUGGGUUUAAAGGGUGCGCAGGCGGGUUUGUAAGUCAGCGGUGAAAUCCCACGGCUCAACCGUGGAACUGCCAUUGAUACUGCAGGCCUUGAGUGUAUUUGAAGUGGGCGGAAUGUAGCAUGUAGCGGUGAAAUGCAUAGAUAUGCUACAGAACACCAAUUGCGAAGGCAGCUCACUAAACUACAACUGACGCUCAUGCACGAAAGCGUGGGGAUCAAACAGG
rnacentral:rRNA from 1 species